CUCCAGCCAGGGAGCAGAGGAGAGGAGCCAGCUCUGCUGUGGAACAGAGAGCCCUGUCCAGCCCAGAGAUCAUGCUGGGAUGCUGAGGGAGUCUGGUUUAACUUAAACUAGCAAAGGGUCUGGGACAGACGUUGCAUAAACUGGUUUGACCCGAAUCAGUUAUGUCUCAUACCACAUUCAACCAGGUUUAUCUCAAACUGGCUUCAGUCAUUUUCAAACUGGUUUAUGUGCACUGAACAUCUGUUCUGCUAGAGGUUUAAACCAGUUUCUGAUCACUUAAACUGGUUUAUGUGUAAUGUCUGUCCUUAGCCUGAAAGGAUCCCAAGACAUAUCAGUCAGCCCCAGUUAGACAUGAGUGACAUAUGCCUCCUACACAAGGUGCAAACGGCACAGAUUGAAGAGACAACCACGGUACAAGGCAGCUUUCAAAAGCACGAAUACAUAAAGCUUAAGCAUAAUCACUGCUGUAACUGUCAUGUGGCUUAAUCACCUAGUCACCAGUCAGCACUGUGUCCUGGCUUUCCAAAAUAGUUAAGACUGCUGUGCAUUUUAGGACAAUGUUUUCCACAAUGAAAACUCACCCUGCGGACACACGGAUGGAUGCUCAGCACUUUCUGUGAUGCUCCUGAGAGGCCUCCUGAACACUGCAGAGAUGGGGUGGUGGGAUGCAGAGGUCUGACCGACCCGAAUUCGUACCAGGAAUAUCUUUGCGCCAUGUGACCUUGUGUUCCAUGCUGAAGGGCCAGGUCCAAAGCCCAUCUGAGUUAAUGGAGUGAUUCCCACUAGCCUGAAUGGGCCCUGGAUCUGACCUCAGGUACUGAAAAUACCACCUUAUGAAACUUUAAUUGUGUUGUCUUGGAUGAGGGCUCUUGCCUCCUCUCUCACCCCACAUGGGCACCCAGGGAUGCUUUCCCUGUCACCCUCUAAAUUAUUCCACUGCCCAUAUGUCCAGGGUUGAAUGGGGUCUCAAAAGGACUGGAGUAACCCUGUAGAAGCCCCAUGGAGAAAUGUGUGUGAACUGUGAACUGUUUUCAAAUCUAUUCGGGCAGAGCAGCUUGGUGGGGGCCAGUCAUUGCAAUGGGCAGCAUUUCCACUUGGUGGCACUCUUUGCUCCCAACAAAGCCGGAGGAGUCUGUAGAGGUAUAAAAUGCAGCUUAGCUUAUAAAUGACAAGUUGUGAAAGGAAAUCAUAAGUUUCAGAUCUCCUGCAGAGUAUUUCUAUUUGACUUGAGAUCUCUUUUUUACUUGAUAUUAUGAUGAGGGUGAUAACCCGCUGCUAAUUGGGCAGGAUAAGGCCCUGACCCGGAUUGCAUGACCCUGGGAAAACAUUUGUUCCAGAUUUCCAGCAUCCGCAGGGAACGGCAGGAAAUGGCAUUUUUCCCUUUGUAGGCUGGGAGCCUUCCUGCUUGUAAGGGGCUGCUGAGAACCGGACACAGGGAAUGCAUGUAGCUGGGAACACAGCCAGGCAGCCUGGAGAGCAGCUCCCUGUAGGGCCUGGGGCUCUUUUCAUGUUGGCUCUGACCUUGCUGGAACCUGAGUGGUGGGCACAUGACCUGUGGGAGGAGGGAGUUUGCUCAGUAUGAUGCUGAGUGAGGAUCAGGUGCUGUGGUGUUGGGCUCUAGGGCUGGUCAGGGUGGGCCCUGCUGCACCCCCUGCCUGGGGUGACCGUUAUCAGGGUCCAAGUGGCUCUCUGCCUUGGGCUAUUACAUUUGGGGGCCAGCUCAGUCUGACACACUGCCCUAGGGACAACAGUUGCAGACCUGAGCAACUGCACAUCUGGAAACUUGUAACACACAAGGAAACAACACAUUGUGUUUAAUACUACCCACUCAGCAGCUCAUUUGAAUCAGCAGACAAACCAGAGCAGCAUUGCUCUUUGCAGUUACACCGCAGGGAAAUUCUUGUUCUGACUCCUUUUCUCAAAGAACCACAACUGACUGCGAGACAGGUGGGUAUAAACUGGCUGAGGGUACGACCCAGAGAGUCCUAAUGAACGAAUCUGUGUCAUUUUGGCGAGAAGUGGCCAGUGGUGUCCCAUGGGGGUUGGUGCUUGGUCCAGUACUUUUCACCAUUUUUAUCAAGCAUUCAGAUGUGGGGGUGAAGAGCUCACUGGCCAAAUACGCGGAUGACAUCAAUUUAUGGGGAAGCGUGGUCACAUUUGCAGAUAGGCUACAGUUACAGGUGGACCUAGACAGGCUGGCAAGUUGGGAUGAAGCUUAACAUUGGGAAGUGUAAAGUGCUCCACCUGGGGAUGAACAACCCUGUACACACCUACAAAUGUGGCGGUGCCAAACUGACCAGCACCAUGAACAAAAGGGACUUGGGAGUAACAAUAGAUCACAGUAUGAAUCUGAGCCAGCAGUGCGACGCUGUAGUCAGCAGGGCAAAUAGUCUGGCAUGCAUCAAUCGGUGCAUCUCUAGCAAAACGAAGGAAGUGAUUCUUCUGCUCUACUUGGGAUUGGUGAGACCGCAGAUGUAGUACUGCGUCCAGUUCGGGGCACUGCACUUUAACAAACAUAUGGUACAGCUUGAGAGAGUCCAGAGAAGGGCCACCCAUAUGAUCAGAGACUUGCAAGGCAAAGCAUAUGAGGAAAGGCUGAGGGACCUGAGUUUCUUCAGGCUGAGGAAAAGAAGGCUGAGAGGGGACUUGGUAGCAGCUCACCACUACAUCAGGGGAAUACAUCAAGGGCUUGGUGAGCAACUGUUCACCAGGACACCCUUGGGGAAAACCAGGAGCAAUGGCCACUAACUUGUGGGAGACCAUUUCAGGUUCAACAUUAGGAAAAACAUCUUCACAAUUACAGUGUCCAGACUGUGGAAUAAGCUCUCUCCAGAGGUGGUGCAAUCGCCUACCCUGGAAAUCUUCAAGAGGAGACUGGAGGGUCACAUUGCUGGGGUCACCUGACCCUGGUUGUCUUUCCUGCCUAGUGCGGCGGGGCUGGACCUGAUGAUCUUGCGAGGUCCCUUCCAGCCCCUUGCAAAGUAUCAAUCUAUGACUUUGUAACAUUUGCUGCAGUGAGGCUGGAGUGUUGUUGUAGACUUGAUGGCCCAGGGAACACGCAAGGCUUCUUCGGUGAUGCCUUUAAUGGAUCAACGGUAUAGUAAGGAGUGAGGUAAGACAAGCCUUUGAGUAUAGUGUCCUAACAGGACUCCCAGCGAUACUGUUGGAGCAAUAGAAGAUAUUUCAAAAAGACUUUGCUUCUUGUAACAUUUGUAAUGCAGGCACCUGGCAAAAUACUGGAUACAAAUUCACUUGAGGUUCUUUAAUGAGCUUGUGACAACUCUGCACACAAGUGACUGGCUAAGUGCACGGGGAUGUCUAGCUGGGUCUCCGUUCCCUUCCAGCCUUCCUCAUCCCCACAUGCAACAUGCUGAUAACCUUGGUUUCUACUCCAACGAUCCUGCCAGCAUUGCAGACUUCACAUCAGUAUAAAUUCUCCUCUGACACGCACAGGGAAGCUAAAUGAGUUGAACAGGUGAUGAAGGAGCAACAGCUUUUUGUAAACUCAGACUGAAAAAGUUAGAGAAAACAACACUGGCAAACAACUUGUUUGUUCACCAGGAUGUGGCUGUUUCUCCUUCUGCACAUCAGCUGCCUUUGCCCAACAUCAGCCUCACCCUUUUCUUCAUUGUCCACAGAUUUAAUCUGGGCUUUUUAUUGACAGCAGCCGUGUCUGGGCAUGAGAAACUUUUUUCUUUCACAUUUAAUGUGGCAAUAGGUUGUCCCCAUUUGUUUCGGGCCAGGAUCAGCAGCUACUGCGGUUUAGGAGCAAUUGGAGUCAGUGGGGCUGGCAGCCUUGUACUUUUACACCAUCCUAGAACUUCUAAUUUUUUAGGAUUUUUUUUUUUUGAGAAGGGUAGAGUAAUAGUUUGUUGAAAAGCUGUUCCUUACAUCCCCUACAAACUUAAUUAUACUCUUCUGGGUCCAAGUCAUUGUUUCACUUGCAUUCUUCUUAUUUUUACCCCAGCUUGCAUUACAGUGUAGGGGUUUGAAUUAAGGUUCACAUAUCCCCUCCCUGACUGCACUUGCUACCGCUGACACUGCUUUUAGUUGCUGGUGUAGCUGUGCAAUCUCCACCUGAUAGCUAUCAUGCUCAGCUUUAACGUGUUCCUUUUAUGGGUUGCUUCAACACUACUUGAACGGCGGUUUGGGUUUUCAGGCACUUGCUUUUUCAGCAUCGGUCAUGUCUUACUGCCCUUUUUACCUCUGUUUUUAAGUGCAAAGGUUUAGUUUUAAUGGCAGUAAAACUGAAAGCAUCUUUCAUGGAGUUGACCUGUAAGGCGGUGUCUUUCACUAGCAAGGAAAAUUCUACUGUUGGCAAUUGGCCAGUUGUUGCUGUGUGUUGGCUAAUUGUUCUUGUGAAUCAUCCAGUUGUUGCUGAGAGUUUUGGAUAAUUUAAAAGCAGGUCCAAAUAACUUUGAUUUGUCUGGUGCGGCCACUAGAAAACCUUGCAGUGGUCCACAAUAUUAUUUUUGCUAGUGGGUUUGGCUUGAUUUAGUUCAUUUCUCAGUCCCCUGCAUCCAUUUGUUCCAUUGGUCACACAGCUGACAAAAUGGAUCUGGCAUGUCAAAAGUUCCUUGUUACAAAACUGUGGUAGGGCUUAAUCCCCCACCUACACACAAUUUUAAAUUCCUAGGCAUAUGACUAAUGCAGAAGCUGCUUGACAAAACUUGCAGUUGUUUAAUUUAAUCUUUUUCCAAGGGACCUGCCCAACUUCUGCUUUGCAUGUUACUUCUGGUUUUCACAGUGUCCACUUCUGUUUUGCAGUGACUACAUGGUCUCCUACCUGCCAACAUUUCUAACUUAUAACUACCCAGUUCCUCAAACUGUCCUGCUUCCUCAUUAACUUCUGCAGCUGCAUCCUGAAUCAGCCCUUCUACAGGACAGACCCCUCUUCAAGCCCUCCCCAUCCUGGAUCCAGCCAACUGCUCCCAGGAAAAGGCAGCCAAAACCCCACAUACUUUUCCCUGCCCUUUAGUCCCCUUGAGGUCUCCCCCGAUCAUUAUAAUUAGUGAUCCAGAUGUGCUGAGAAGCUCUGCAGCCCUACAUGCCAAUCAGACAUAUACUGGGGACAGGGCGUGUCCUGAAGAGAUGCUGCCCUGGACAGAAGGAGUGGGGAGGGAACCUGAGGUGCAGGAAGGGGAUGGACUUACUCAAGGUCACCUGGCAGGUCAGUGCAGGGCAAGGAAAAAGACCCAGGUUAGCCAGCCUAGUGCACAGGCCGAUGAGCACAGGCCCUGGGCUCCCCUGUCUGCUCUGUGCUCCCACACUUCAUCCAUCCCGUCCUGGAUCUCAAGCCACAAUUCAAGUCCCAGGUCCCUGCCCUGCUCCCCAUUCCCUCUCCUCACAGGGUGGGAUGGAUGGACAGCUGAUCCAGAAGCUCACUUUUGGGGAGUUGGGGGGAGGGUGAAAAAAUACAUGCAGAUGUGUGACUACACCAGCAGUGACAACCAGAAGAUGCCACCCCCUGAGCCCAGGUGUCACAGUUGCCCUGGGCUCCUGUCUGUUGUUACACCUCUGGGGAUGGAGUGAGCAGAUGCUGCCUCAGCACCACUCCUGCCCUCUCUGCCACUGCAGCUGCCUUCUGCACCCCCAGAUCCAAAGCAGAGCUGGAGAUGAGUGCAACUGGAGGUGGACACUGGGCAUCCAAGAGCAGCCUCACAGGGGUUGUUGUACCUGCCCUGGCUGGGAACAGCUGUUUGGGAGGGUCUCAGGGCAGGGAUGCUGGGAGGCACAAAGCCUGAGCAAGAGGCUGACAACUGGGGCACGGGGAUGAAUCCUGUUCCUAAUAAAGAUAAAGCUGUUCACCUCCCCAGCAGUUUCUGCUGAACGCUGACUCGAGGACAGAGUCCCAGGGGCACGGAGCUCUGAGUAAGUACCCCGUCCCAGGAACCCAGUGGCCAAGGGUAAACACUAUAGUGGAUGGGCAGCACUAGGACCCUCCUGCCACCCCUCCUCAUCUCUGCAGCAGCAGCACAGGGAGGAUAACCACUUUUCUGGCAUGGGGUAGUACCCGCAGAGGUAAUGCAUAGUUACCCUCCCACAUUCAGUUCCCCUGGGAAGAUCUUUGCUUUAUGCCCACUUUAUGGAAAUGGGAGACUCCUCCCUAGCUUGGUCCUGCGGCAGUAUUGCUGAGGGCAAAUGAAACUUGGGGACAUCCAAACUUCAAGCCUCUGGCCUUGGGCCUGCAUGUAGGAUACCUACCAAAUGCUUUGGAAACAUCUGGAGCCCCAGGUGGGGUGGAGGAUGUUUGCCAGUACAGGCAACCCCUGCUUCGUGCUCUUAAUUGGCUUUGGAAAAACUGAGCGCUAAGCGAAACAGCAUUAAGUGAAACCCAUUUCUCCAUAGGAUUUAAUGUAAAAACAGAAUUGGUUCUACACAACCUGCCAGCCCAGACCCCAUGCUCCUGCCAGCCCUGGCCCUGGGCCCCAGCCGGGACUCCACAGUCAUGCCACCAGUUGCCCUCCCCACCCCUGCCACCGCUCCUCCCUGCUGGCUCCAGCACCAUGUGCAGGACCAGACCCCACUUUCUUGCUGCCUGACCCUGGGCCCCUGCUUCACUCGCUGCUGCCACCGCUGCUGCUUCUCCCAGCCCCAUGUUUAGCAUUAUAAUGAAAUACUCUGAGCGCUCAGUGAAACUACAUAUUUUAAAUGACUGUCACAGUCAAACCGCAGUAAGCGAAACCAGGCUAAUCUCCAUGCAGCUGCUUUUGGUUAACAGCCUGGGGUUUUUUUACAACCCUUGUUAUGACUCAUGCGCUACACAUUCAGUUUUGUUUCUUUUGCCCAGCUUCUACAGCUUCUUAGCCCCAGGUCUGGGGGCACUUGCCACGCAAGGACACUGCCUAAACCAUGUUGGUCCCUACAGCUGUGACCUGCCCUUGCUUGUGAACACUCACUCCUACACAGAGGAUAGAGACACUCAGAAGCCACGUUCACAUGCAUACAUGCACACGUGUGCGUCCAACCCGGUCUCAUGUUCAAGCUCCCUGCCUUGGCUUCUAUAGUCCCUCCACUGCCCAGCCCUUAUCUUGAGUGCCAGCCAGGCCUGCCCUCAUGCCGGCUCCUGCCCUGCACUGCAAUAGAGACACCAACCUGGACCCCAUCUCAGUGCCCUUCUAACACACAGCCUUGCCUCUUAUCCAGCAUUGCCAGCCUCACUGUGUCAAAAGUCAUGAGACAAACUGUUAAAAAUCAAGAGAUUUCGAAUGUAAAUCAUGAGAUGCUAUUUUUGAAGUGUGUGUGUGUGUACGUGAAUGUGCGUGCACAUGUGUGUGUGUGCAAGUGCGUGUGCAUGCACGGGGGCUUAUUUGUGAAGGCGUGGGGGGCUGUAGGUGUGUGUGGGGAUGAGGCUGGAACCUGGGGGAGAGUUCCCCAUAUACCCUGGCAGGAUGCGGGGCACUGUGGUUCAGGAGUGAGGGGCAGCAGCAGGGCUGGAGGGGCUGUGGCUUGGGAGUGAGGGGCAGACACACACACACACACACACACACACACACACACACACAUGCAGACGGGCUGGGUGGUUCAUGAGACAGAAAAGGCGGCUCAUCCAGUAGCAUGGGGGAGGCGUGGCUCCCUGCAGCUGUGUGCUCCCCCAAGAGAGGCAUGGGGGACACAUUCCCCCCAGAUUUGUGCACGGGGCAGAGGUGGGAUGAGGCUCUGUGCCCUACUGCCCUUGCCCUGGGAGCCAUGCGACACUGCCAGGCAGGCAGACAGGGGACACAUGACGUUGCCGGCACAUGGCCUUCGGGGGUCAAAGGCAGCAGAGCACAGAGCUCAAGCCCACAGCCCACCUUUGCCCUGUGCACAAAUCCAAAACAAAAACUUCUGAGGUAAGUAGCCUAGAAUUAUUUUGGAGGGGGGCGGCUUUCUACGGUAACAGGGUGGGCUGUGUUAAAUCUUUUGGCUCUUUGCAGGUAUGUGAUGUCUUGAUGGAGAACUUUCAAAACGUACGCGUUGGUGGACCUAUGAGAAUAAAGAUCUCGUGUGCGAACUGGCUUUGUUCAUGUCUAAAAGAGAGGGGUUCAGGACAUGACUGAAUAACCCUGUAUGUGCUGCUUUUCACUAAUAAAUCUUGUUUUGCCACUAUUUAAA